rnacentral:tRNA from 1 species
GGGGUUGUAGCUCAAUGGGAAAGUGCUUGCCUACCACGUAUGAAGCCCUGGGUUCAAUUCCCAGCAUUGCAA